rnacentral:rRNA from 1 species
GAUGAACGCUAGCGGGAGGCCUAACACAUGCAAGCCGAGCGGUAUUGUUUCUUCGGAAAUGAGAGAGCGGCGUACGGGUGCGUAACACGUGUGCAACCUGCCUUUAUCUGGGGGAUAGCCUUUCGAAAGGAAGAUUAAUACUCCAUAAUAUAUUGAACGGCAUCGUUUAAUAUUGAAAGCUCCGGCGGAUAGAGAUGGGCACGCGCAAGAUUAGCUAGUUGGUGAGGUAACGGCUCACCAAGGCGAUGAUCUUUAGGGGGCCUGAGAGGGUGAUCCCCCACACUGGUACUGAGACACGGACCAGACUCCUACGGGAGGCAGCAGUGAGGAAUAUUGGUCAAUGGGUGCAAGCCUGAACCAGCCAUCCCGCGUGAAGGACGACUGCCCUAUGGGUUGUAAACUUCUUUUGUAUAGGGACAAACCUACCCUCGUGAGGGUAGCUGAAGGUACUAUACGAAUAAGCACCGGCUAACUCCGUG